ensembl:miRNA MIR214 microRNA 214
GGCCUGGCUGGACAGAGUUGUCAUGUGUCUGCCUGUCUACACUUGCUGUGCAGAACAUCCGCUCACCUGUACAGCAGGCACAGACAGGCAGACACACGACAACCCAGCCU